rnacentral:rRNA from 1 species
UACGUAGGGUGCGAGCGUUAAUCGGAAUUACUGGGCGUAAAGCGUGCGCAGGCGGUUUUGUAAGCCAGAUGUGAAAUCCCCGGGCUUAACCUGGGAAUGGCAUUUGGGACUGCAAGGCUCGAGUGCGGCAGAGGAGACUGGAAUUCCUGGUGUAGCAGUGAAAUGCGCAGAUAUCGGGAAGAACACCCGUGGCGAAGGCGGUUCUCUGGGACGGUACUGACGCUGAGACGCGAAAGCGUGGGGAGCGAACAGG